rnacentral:rRNA from 1 species
GCGUGCCUAAUACAUGCAAGUCGAACGAAUCUCUUUUAGAGAUGAGUGGCGAACGGGUGAGUAAUACAUAGGUAACCUGCCCCUGUGCGGGGGAUAACAGGAGGAAACUCCUGCUAAUACCGCAUAGCCAUGAGCACCGCAUGGAGCUCAUGCCAAAUAUCCUUUAUGGGAUAGCGCAGGGAUGGACCUAUGGCGCAUUAGCUUGUUGGCGGGGCAACGGCCCACCAAGGCAACGAUGCGUAGCCGGCCUGAGAGGGCGGACGGCCACAUUGGGACUGAGACACGGCCCAGACUCCUACGGGAGGCAGCAGUAGGGAAUUUUCGGCAAUGGGGGAAACCCUGACCGAGCAACGCCGCGUGAGCGAAGAAGGCCUUCGGGUCGUAAAGCUCUGUUGUAAAGGAAGAACGGCGCAUACAGGAAAUGGUAUGCGAGUGACGGUACUUUACCAGAAAGCCACGGCUAACUACGUGCCAGCAGCCGCGGUAAUACGUAGGUGGCGAGCGUUAUCCGGAAUCAUUGGGCGUAAAGAGGGAGCAGGCGGCCGCAAGGGUCUGUGGUGAAAGACCGAAGCUAAACUUCGGUAAGCCAUGGAAACCGGGCGGCUAGAGUGCGGAAGAGGAUCGUGGAAUUCCAUGUGUAGCGGUGAAAUGCGUAGAUAUAUGGAGGAACACCAGUGGCGAAGGCGACGGUCUGGGCCGCAACUGACGCUCAUUCCCGAAAGCGUGGGGAGCAAAUAGGAUUAGAUACCCUAGUAGUCCACGCCGUAAACGAUGGUCACUAAGUGUCGGGGGUCAAACCCCGGUGCUGCAGUCA